GUCUCUACCAGAAAGGGAAAGGAACCGAAAUUAAGGAAGGGAGAGAUUGAAGGGUGGAGGGAUAGCGAGAGAGGUUGGAGAAGAGAGUGAAAAGACCGCUUACCCGAUUUGAAUUUGGUGAGAUGUUCCUUGGGUUAGUUGGUCUGAGGACCUGAGGUCAUAGGUGGAUCUCCUCACAGAGGGUGAGGACAGGGGACUGGUCUCCCGAAGGAGUCCUCCUGUCCCAGGUUUCGGCACCAAAUGUCACGCACGUCCAUGUGAAGAGAGUCCAGCAACACGCUUUGUGUGAGCAACAAGGCUGUUUAUUUCACCUGGGUGCAG
rnacentral:lncRNA from 10 species